CUCAUGGUUGUUCAAAGAUCAAUGAUAAUUCCCAAGGUGGUGGUGCUCUUCGUUAUGCACUCCAUCUACGUUUUCUUUGCCCUUCACCUAAAAAGUGUUCUAGGUCAGUUCAGAGGUGUAAAUCUGAUCCUACAACCGUACCACAAAAGCCACAAUUAGAUGUGGAAGGGGGGCGCAGGUUUUAUUUAUACAAUGACUUGCGAGUUGUGUUCCCUCAACGACAUUCAGAU
rnacentral:misc_RNA from 1 species